CUGAAAAUUUUCUACGUAGUUUAGUAACAUAAACACGUAUUUUAUAUUCUACCGUAUUCUUUAUUGCAAAAUUACUAGAAAAUAAAUAAUUUACUAUGAUUUUCAUCUGAUGUUAUAAUAUAAUGGCUACUAAAAGUGCUCCACAGGCAAAAGGUUGAGAGGAGUCUUUUUAGAUACAGUGAGACUAAUACCAGGUUGCUCUUCCAUGUCGAUGUCUUCCCUCUUCAUUCCAUCGGGCAGUUUCCAAUCAAAACAAUACAGAAGGUUUGCAAGUACGAUCUCCACUGUUAUUGUUGCCAUAUGUAUCCCAGGACAAAUUCUUCUACCUGCUCCAAAUGGCAAGAAUUCAAAAUUUUGUCCUUUAAAGUCGAUGUCACUAUCAGCAAAUCUUUCAGGGAAGAAUUGUUCAGGAUCCUUCCAAUACUUAGGAUCACGUCCAAUUGCCCAGGCAUUAACUUGGAUUAGUGUCUUGGGAUAAAUGUCGUAGCCAUUGAUUUUAAAAUGAGAGAUUGUUUCUCUAGGAAGUAGCAGUGGAGCAGCAGGAUGCAAUCUGAAAGUUUCUUUUAUUACCAUCUUUAAGUAUUCAAGCUGGUCGAGAUCACCUUCAGUUAUUCUUCCUUUCUUUCCAACAACAUUUCUAACUUCAUCUUGCGCUUUCUUCAUCACACUCGGAUUCCGAGACAGCUCUGCCAUUGCCCAGUUCACGGUAAUCGCAGAAGUGUCUACUCCAGCUAAAAAUAAAUUCUGACGGACAAAUAUUACAUUUCAAUUAAUAGCACGGACUAGACAUAGAAGACGAAGAAAAUACUCAUAAAUGGAAUGUUGGAAACUUACCAGAAGGACUCCCUUAAUGUUAUCAUUUGUGAACUUUGCCAUUCCAGUUUCAGCUUGUUCUUCCUUUAUUCUUAACAGCACAUCUAUCACGUCGUCUUUCUCCUUAUUCCUUCCUGGUUUAAGAUGAUCAUUGAUUGCAUAUUCAAAAAAGGUAUCCAACUCAUGGAAAACUCUUUCAGUCCUAGCAUGAUGGCUGGUUAUCCAAUCAAAAACCCAACCAAAAUAUGGGAACAAUUCACUUUUAGAGAAGCUUCCUGCCACAGCUUCACCAUCAUGAACCACUUCAUGAAAUCUAUCUCUGUCGAAAUUAGUCCCCCGAUAAUCAAAUCCGAAAGACAUUCGAACUGUGAUAUUUGCAGUAAGGGAAAAUAACUUUUCUGUAAGAUUAAUGGGAGUUUCAGAAGCUGCUGAAUUGGAGAUUGAACUGAUGAACAAUUCAACUUCGGGCUGAAAAUUUUCUACGUAGUUUAGUAACAUAAACACGUAUUUUAUAUUCUACCGUAUUCUUUAUUGCAAAAUUACUAGAAAAUAAAUAAUUUACUAUGAUUUUCAUCUGAUGUUAUAAUAUAAUGGCUACUAAAAGUGCUCCACAGGCAAAAGGUUGAGAGGAGUCUUUUUAGAUACAGUGAGACUAAUACCAGGUUGCUCUUCCAUGUCGAUGUCUUCCCUCUUCAUUCCAUCGGGCAGUUUCCAAUCAAAACAAUACAGAAGGUUUGCAAGUACGAUCUCCACUGUUAUUGUUGCCAUAUGUAUCCCAGGACAAAUUCUUCUACCUGCUCCAAAUGGCAAGAAUUCAAAAUUUUGUCCUUUAAAGUCGAUGUCACUAUCAGCAAAUCUUUCAGGGAAGAAUUGUUCAGG
rnacentral:lncRNA from 1 species